GACGAACGCUGGCGGCGUGCUUAACACAUGCAAGUCGAACGGAAAGGCCCUUUUGUGGGUACUCGCGUGGCUGACGGGUGAGUAACACGUGAGUAACCUGCCCUUCCUUUCGGGUUAACUUACGGCAACUGGGGCUAAUACCGGAUAGGAAUCCUUGCUGCAUGGUUGGGGUUGGAAAGCUUCGGGGGUUUUGGAUGGACUCGCGGCUUAUCUGCUUGUUGGUGGGGUAGUGGGUUACCAACGCUUUGACGGGUAGCCGGCCUGGGGGGGCGACCGGCCACAGUGGGACUGGGGUACGGCCCAGACUCCUACGGGAGGCAGCAGGGGGGAAAAUUGCACAAGGGGCGGGAGCCCGAUGCAGCAACGCCGCGGGCGGGAAGACGGGCUUCGGGUUGGAAACCGCUUUCAGCAGGGGCGAAGCUUGUGGUGACGGUACCUGCAGAAGAAGCACCGGCUAACUACGUG
rnacentral:rRNA from 1 species